UGGUAACAGUGGAGAUUAGAGUCCAGAGCACACAGCUGGGGAGACAGACCCAAGAAGGAACCUGACAUGGUGACCCAGACAGAGCCAGGAGAGAAGCCAUGAGCUUGGCUCACACAGAUUCUGACUGUGAGAAGAGGAAAGAGAUGGAAGGCAACUUUAAGAACAGGAAACAAACUCACACAUCCAGAGGAAGUGCAUAGGUCGGGGCAACGAAGAGCCUGAAAUCACAUAGAUGGCAAGACAAGAGUCGAUCCUAACAAAACCAAGGAAUAUGUCAAUGCAAAGACUGGGCCACAUGAAGCUCCGGAUUUCUGAAGGUGACAAGAUGAUCUCUAAGAUUCCUUCCAAUGUUAAUCACAAACAAAACACCUGAAUCAAUCCCUCAGAGGUUCAUCAACUUCUGUGGGUUCUAUAGAGUUGAGAUGCAGAUGUGAGGUGGUGAAGAGGGCCUAAAGGCAUUUCUGUGAUGGGCCCUGAGGGAAGACCGGGAAGAAAACAAAGUCCCUGGCCUGUGUAGCUCCCAGCCCUGCUGGAGGUCAUAGUAGAAAGUAGUAGACUGGGACAAGGUCUAUA
rnacentral:lncRNA from 1 species